rnacentral:rRNA from 1 species
UACGAAGGGGGCUAGCGUUGUUUCGGAAUUACUGGGCGUAAAGGGCGCGCGGGCGGCUUGGCAAGUUAGGCGUGAAAGGCCUGGGCUUAACCUGGGAAUGGCGCUUAAGACUGCCGAGCUUGAGGGUGGGAGGGGAUGGUGGAAUUCCCAGUGUAGAGGUGAAAUUCGUAGAUAUUGGGAAGAACACCGAUGGCGAAGGCGGCCAUCUGGACCACAUCUGACGCUGAGGCGCGAAAGCGUGGGGAGCAAACAGGG